rnacentral:rRNA from 1 species
UACGGCUCAGUAACACGUCGAUAAUCUGCCCUUAGGUCAGGAAUAACUUCUGGAAACUGAAGCUAAAAUCUGAUAUGGAAAUUCUACUGGAAGGUGUUUUUCCGUAAACGUAAGGCCUAAGGAUGAGUCGGCGGUCGAUUAGGUUGUUGGUGAGGUAAAGGCUCACCAAGCCUAUGAUCGAUAGGGGCCUUGAGAGAGGUAACCUCGAGAAGGGCACUGAGAUACUGGCCCUAGCCCUACGGGGUGCAGCAGGCGCGGAACCUUUACAAUGCACGAAAGUGUGAUAAGGGAAUCCCAAGUGUCUUGCUUUUAGCAAGGCUUUUGCCAAAAGUAAAAAUCUUGGCGAAUAAGUGGUGGGUAAGACUUGUGCCAGCCGCCGCGGUAACACCAGCGCCACAAGUGGCAACCGCUUUUAUUUGGCCUAAAGCGUCCGUAGCCGGUUCAGUAAAUUUUCUGUGAAAUCGUUAGGCUUAACUUAACGCCGUGCAGGAAAGACUGCUGGACUAGGGACCGGGAGGCGUCAGAGGUAUUCCUGAGGGAGCGGUAAAAUGCUAUAAUCUCAGGAGGACCACCGAUGGCGAAGGCAUCUGACGAGAACGGAUCCGACGGUGAGGGACGAAAGCUAGGGGAGCAAACCGGAUUAGAUACGAGAAAUCAUCCUGAUUUCUGGAGUUAGCUCGGAAAGAAUUGUUAUUCUACUGAGUACGAGUGUGAUUUCAGAAGUUGUUAAAUGUUGAUUUCCUCGCUAACUACCCGAGUAGUCCUAGCUGUAAACUCUGCGAGCUAGGUGUUACGUAUUCUUCGGGAAUAUGUAGUGUCGAAGCGAAGGUGUUAAGCUCGCCGCCUGGGAAUUAUGGUCGCAAGACUGAAACUUAAAGGAAUUGGCGGA